GCAUUCUCCAUUCCUCACUCAAAUUUCAAAUCAAAAUCCCCAAAUUUGUUUGUAUCUCAAAUUUUACCGAGAAAAAAUGUCUGGUCGUGGAAAGGGUGGUAAGGGACUCGGAAAGGGAGGUGCAAAGAGGCACAGGAAGGUUCUUCGCGAUAAUAUCCAAGGAAUCACGAAGCCAGCUAUUCGUAGAUUGACGAGAAGAGGUGGUGUGAAGAGAAUCAGUGGUUUGAUCUAUGAAGAAACCAGAGGUGUGUUGAAGAUCUUUUUGGAAAAUGUUAUUCGUGAUGCUGUUACCUACACUGAGCACGCUAGGAGAAAAACCGUGACUGCUAUGGAUGUUGUUUAUGCUCUUAAGAGACAAGGAAGAACUCUAUACGGUUUCGGCGGUUGAAGAAGCAUUUUCUUACGUCAAUCGCAUUCUCCAUUCCUCACUCAAAUUUCAAAUCAAAAUCCCCAAAUUUGUUUGUAUCUCAAAUUUUACCGAGAAAAAAUGUCUGGUCGUGGAAAGGGUGGUAAGGGACUCGGAAAGGGAGGUGCAAAGAGGCACAGGAAGGUUCUUCGCGAUAAUAUCCAAGGAAUCACGAAGCCAGCUAUUCGUAGAUUGGCGAGAAGAGGUGGUGUGAAGAGAAUCAGUGGUUUGAUCUAUGAAGAAACCAGAGGUGUGUUGAAGAUCUUUUUGGAAAACGUUAUUCGUGAUGCUGUUACUUACACUGAGCACGCGAGGAGAAAGACCGUGACUGCUAUGGAUGUUGUUUAUGCUCUUAAAAGACAAGGAAGAACUCUCUACGGUUUCGGCGGUUGAAGAAGCGUUUUCUGUUUUUUGUAUUGCUUUAACUGUGUAAUUGGAACAUGUGAUUGUUCUUUGAAAUGGUGUUUAUUAUGGCUGUUAAUUAGUCUUUUGUUCUUUUGUAAGAUUUGACUAUAUUGAAAUGAAAAGAGUUACUCUGCUGGGAAAUUUUGAUUUGUUUUA